ACAGGCUUUCAGGUGUUGUUUUUAAAUUUGUUUGUAGGUUCGCAAUGCUUAUACAGCCAUGGAAAAUCUUUUGCUUUGUAAGUGUUUACCUAACGGGUCCAAAAGGGUCCGAGUUCCUCAUCAUUUACUCAGUAACGAGUCACCUGAAGAUGAUAAUAAACGGAGAAAAAUUGAGAGACGGCUUUGUAAUGUAGUUAUGGACUAAUACUCGUACUGACUAAUUGUAAUGUAUAACAAAGAAUAUCUUGUAUGAUAUAAUUUGAACUUUACUAUGUACCCAAACUAUUUAAGUUAGGCUUUUCAAUUGGUGCUGUGGAACAAAUAAGUUAAGAGCAUAGAUUGGAACUUUUUCUUGUUUUAAUAUUGUAGUUAGAACUAUGCAGUCUGCAUAAUCGGCCAUGUAUAUUUGGCUACCUUAAUUAUUAUUUUGCAGCUGAUAUAAAUGAUUCAAUAUUGAACC